rnacentral:rRNA from 1 species
GACGAACGCUGGCGGCGUGCCUAAUACAUGCAAGUCGAACGAACCGCGACCGAGUGCUUGCACUUGGUCAAGGUGAGUGGCGAACGGGUGAGUAACACGUGGGUAACCUACCUCAUAGUGGGGGAUAACAGUCGGAAACGACUGCUAAUACCGCAUAGGACAUGGGAUCACAUGAGUCUGUGAGGAAAGGUGGCGCAAGCUAUCGCUAAGAGAUGGACCCGCGGUGCAUUAGCUAGUUGGUAGGGUAACGGCCUACCAAGGCAAUGAUGCAUAGCCGACCUGAGAGGGUGAUCGGCCACAUUGGGACUGAGACACGGCCCAAACUCCUACGGGAGGCAGCAGUAGGGAAUCUUCCGCAAUGGACGCAAGUCUGACGGAGCAACGCCGCGUGAGUGAAGAAGGUCUUCGGAUCGUAAAGCUCUGUUGUUAGAGAAGAACAGCGCAUAGAGUAACUGUUAUGCGUGUGACGGUGUCUAACCAGAAAGCCACGGCUAACUACAUGCCAGCAGCCGCCGUAAUAC